rnacentral:misc_RNA from 1 species
UACGGAGGGUGCAAGCGUUGUCCGGAAUUAUUGGGCGUAAAGCGCGCGCAGGCGGUAAUUUAAGUCUUGUGUUUAAUCCCGGAGCUCAACUCCGGGUCGCAUGGGAAACUGGGUUACUUGAGUGCAGAAGAGGAGAGUGGAAUUCCACGUGUAGCGGUGAAAUGCGUAGAGAUGUGGAGGAACACCAGUGGCGAAGGCGGCUCUCUGGGCUGUAACUGACGCUGAGGCGCGAAAGCGUGGGGAGCAAACAGG